rnacentral:rRNA from 1 species
UGGGGAAUAUUGCGCAAUGGGCGAAAGCCUGACGCAGCGACGCCGCGUGAGCGAUGAAGGCCUUCGGGUUGUAAAGCUCUGUCGGAGGGGACGAAACAAUAGUGAGAAUAAUACCUCGCUAUCUUGACGGUACCCUCAAAGGAAGCACCGGCUAACUCCGUGCCAGCAGCCGCGGUAAUACGGAGGGUGCUAGCGUUGUUCGGAAUUACUGGGCGUAAAGCGCGCGUAGGUGGUCUGUGAAGUCUGGUGUGAAAGCCCACGGCUUAACCGUGGAAGUGCGCUGGAAACCAACAGACUAGAGAACAGAUGGGGAUCGUGGAAUUCCUGGUGUAGCAGUGAAAUGCGUAGAUAUCAGGAAGAACACCGGUGGCGAAGGCGACGAUCUAGGCUGUUUCUGACACUAAAGUGCGAAAGCGUGGGGAGCAAACAGG